GAUGAACGCUGGCGGCGUGCCUAAUACAUGCCAGUCGAGCGAACAGACGAGGAGCUUGCUCCUCUGACGUUAGCGGCGGACGGGUGAGUAACACGUGGAUAACCUACCUAUAAGACUGGGAUAACUUCGGGAAACCGGAGCUAAUACCGGAUAAUAUAUUGAACCGCAUGGUUCAAUAGUGAAAGACGGUUUUGCUGUCACUUAUAGAUGGAUCCGCGCCGCAUUAGCUAGUUGGUAAGGUAACGGCUUACCAAGGCAACGAUGCGUAGCCGACCUGAGAGGGUGAUCGGCCACACUGGAACUGGGACACGGUCCAGACUCCUACGGGAGGCAGCAGUAGGGAAUCUUCCGCAAUGGGCGAAAGCCUGCCGGAGCAACGCCGCGUGAGUGAUGAAGGUCUUCGGAUCGUAAAACUCUGUUAUUAGGGAAGAACAAAUGUGUAAGUAACUAUGCACGUCUUGACGGUACCUAAUCAGAAAGCCACGGCUAACUACGUG
rnacentral:rRNA from 1 species